CCUACGGGAGGCAGCAGUGAGGAAUAUUGGACAAUGGGCGCAAGCCUGAUCCAGCCAUGCCGCGUGCAGGAUGACGGUCCUAUGGAUUGUAAACUGCUUUUGCACAGGAAGAAACAACGCUACGUGUAGCGUCUUGACGGUACUGUGAGAAUAAGGAUCGGCUAACUCCGUGCCAGCAGCCGCGGUAAUACGGGGGAUCCAAGCGUUAUCCGGAAUCAUUGGGUUUAAAGGGUCCGUAGGCGGUUUAGUAAGUCAGUGGUGAAAGCCCAUCGCUCAACGGUGGAACGGCCAUUGAUACUGCUAGACUUGAAUUAUUAGGAAGUAACUAGAAUAUGUAGUGUAGCGGUGAAAUGCUUAGAGAUUACAUGGAAUACCAAUUGCGAAGGCAGGUUACUACUAAUUGAUUGACGCUGAUGGACGAAAGCGUGGGUAGCGAACAGGAUUAGAUACCCUGGUAGUCCACGCCGUAAACGAUGGAUACUAGCUGUUGGGAGCAAUUUCAGUGGCUAAGCGAAAGUGAUAAGUAUCCCACCUGGGGAGUACGUUCGCAAGAAUGAAACCUNAAAUGAAUUGACGNNGAGAGAGCGAGACGACGACGAGGGGAGGAGG
rnacentral:rRNA from 1 species